rnacentral:rRNA from 1 species
CCUACGGGCGGCAGCAGUAGGGAAUCUUCCACAAUGGGCGAAAGCCUGAUGGAGCAACGCCGCGUGGGUGAAGAAGGUCUUCGGAUCGUAAAACCCUGUUGUUAGAGAAGAAAGUGCGUGAGAGUAACUGUUCACGUUUCGACGGUAUCUAACCAGAAAGCCACGGCUAACUACGUGCCAGCAGCCGCGGUAAUACGUAGGUGGCAAGCGUUAUCCGGAUUUAUUGGGCGUAAAGGGAACGCAGGCGGUCUUUUAAGUCUGAUGUGAAAGCCUUCGGCUUAACCGGAGUAGUGCAUUGGAAACUGGGAGACGUGAGUGCAGAAGAGGAGAGUGGAACGCCAGGUGUAGCGAUGAAAUGCGUAGAUAUAUGGAAGAACACCAGUGGCGAAAGCGGCUCUCUGGUCUGUAACUGACGCUGAGGUUCGAAAGCGUGGGUAGCAAACAGGAUUAGAUACCCCGGUAGUC